AAGUACAUAUAAAUACAUCUAGCACUACAACUACACUUAUCUACAAACGUAUUUUCAACGCAGACUACAUGUUUGUUUUUUGUUUGUUUUUUUUUUGGUUUUUAGGCUUGCCAAUCAAUGUUAAAAGUGGAGCGAAUUAGGACAUGCCUUAUUCGUCCAAAGAGCUGAACCAAAAUGAACGAAGUGAACACGCGGUCACACCAAUGAGUCACUGGCCUUCGCGCCGACAAGCAAUGCGAAGUCACGCGGACACACUUUUACACAUUGGGAGCCAAAUAGAAUCUCAACCGGCCUUUUCCGUUAAGAAGAGAACAACUUCUCAACUUAACGGAAGCCUUUUAAAUGUUUCUAAACAAAAUUUGUCAUCAUCUUAAUAAUAUCACAUAUUUGUCAGUUUUCUUUUCAUAAGGAUCGUGAUAAAAUUCAUGUUUAGAAGCUCUAAGGUCAAUAGGUCAUGGGACAUAGUCCUCGUGAGAUGACAAAUUUUAGGCCUCAUGCAACACAUUACAUAUUCGUAUGAUUUUGUACGAAUUACAUGUGAAAUGCGAGAAAAGGGUCGAUAUAAUCAUUAACAAUCAUGGUAUCGGGAAAUACAUACUCUCUAGCAAACAAAUCAAGUAGGCAAAGAGAUGAAAUGACCAAGAAAGAUGGGUUUAAAUCAUCAAAUUCAACACUGUACACAGACCUACUAGUGACACGUGUUUGGGUGAUUCUGCGUUUUGGAGCCGAACCCUCGUGAUCCACAGUGACGACUCAUCGAUUUCGACGUUGUAUACGAUGAGGAAGGAAGAGUAUUUUCUCCCUCAAGUCCAGCCAUCCUUACUAUCACCAGAGGGCCGCUUUUGUGCAAUAUGAAUUAUUGUGUUUCGAUUGUUGGGACUAUAGCCGACUGCAUGCAAAAUUAUCCGGAUCAUCAAGAAUUCUUAGUGGACAAAGAACAUUGCAUAGUGAUAGAAUUUUAUUGCUGCAACUUUAUUAUUUGGACAACAGCUGACUGCCGAAUUAUCCGGGAUCACAAAGGACUCUGAAUGGACACAUAACAUUUACAAAAUUAUACUUUCAAUAUUUUCAUUCCUGUAUGAAUUCGAAAUCAACAUGUAUUAAUAAAAUAUACUUACUAGUAAAACAAUAACAAUCAGUAGUGCAUUUUUAUUUAUACUAAACUAUUUGACAUACAAGUUUUAUUUUAUUCAUAAAGGUUUUGUAUGGCGUGUAAAACGUUGCACAAUUAUACUAAUCUUGUUAUUCAUAUUCGAAAACUUGUAAUUUAUAUUCUAAAGCAUAUCAUUCAUAUUCGAAAAGUUUUAUUCAUAUUCGAUAAUUUUAUCAUUCAUAUUCAAAAACAUGUUAUUUUUAUUCUAAAACGUGUUAUUCAUAUUCAAAAACAUGUCAUUCUUAUUCAAUAA